rnacentral:rRNA from 1 species
UUUGAACGCUGGCGGCAUGCCUUACACAUGCAAGUCGAACGGUAACGCGGGGCAACCUGGCGACGAGUGGCGAACGGGUGAGUAAUAUAUCGGAACGUGCCCAGUAGUGGGGGAUAGCCCGGCGAAAGCCGGAUUAAUACCGCAUACGACCUACGGGUGAAAGCGGGGGAUCGCAAGACCUCGCGCUAUUGGAGCGGCCGAUAUCAGAUUAGGUAGUUGGUGGGGUAAAAGCCUACCAAGCCGACGAUCUGUAGCUGGUCUGAGAGGACGACCAGCCACACUGGGACUGAGACACGGCCCAGACUCCUACGGGAGGCAGCAGUGGGGAAUUUUGGACAAUGGGCGCAAGCCUGAUCCAGCCAUGCCGCGUGCGGGAAGAAGGCCUUCGGGUUGUAAACCGCUUUUGUCAGGGAAGAAAUCCUCUGGGUUAAUACCUCGGGGGGAUGACGGUACCUGAAGAAUAAGCACCGGCUAACUACGUGCCAGCAGCCGCCGUAAUAC